AUGGUCCUCAACAUCUAAUAAAUUAGAACGAUACAAAGAAGAUUAGCAUGGCCCCGUGCAAGGAUGACAUGCACAAGUAGGGAAAUGGUCCAAUUUUUU